GCAGAUUGGCAAUUCUCCACUGUACAAGUUAGAUAGAAAGCUGGGGAAGGGGGGUUUUGGACAAGUAUUCGUGGGAAGAAGAGUGGCUGGUGGUAUCGCUGGAACUGGGCCUGAUGCCUUUGAGGUUGCUUUGAAGUUAGAGCAUAAAAAUAGUAAAGGCUGCAGUCACGGUCCUCCUUAUGAGUGGCAAGUGUACAGGUCAUGGACAUGCUUGGCCCAAGUUUAUGGGAUCUUUGGAACACUAAUAACCAAAUGUUGUCUGAAGAUACAGUUGCUUGUAUAGCAGUGGAGGCUAUAUCAAUUCUAGAUCACCUUCAUGUCAAAGGUU